rnacentral:rRNA from 1 species
AGAGUUUGAUCAUGGCUCAGAGCGAACGCUGGCGGCAGGCCUAACACAUGCAAGUCGAGCGCCCCGCAAGGGGAGCGGCAGACGGGAGAGUAACACGUGGGAACGUACCCUUCAGUUCGGAACAACCCAGGGAAACUUGGGCUAAUACCGAAUACGUCCGUAAGGAGAAAGAUUUAUCGCUGAAGGAUCGGCCCGCGUCUGAUUAGCUAGUUGGUGAGGUAACGGCUCACCAAGGCGACGAUCAGUAGCUGGUCUGAGAGGAUGAUCAGCCUCACUGGGACUGAGACACGGCCCAGACUCCUACGGGAGGCAGCAGUGGGGAAUAUUGGACAAUGGGCGCAAGCCUGAUCCAGCCAUGCCGCGUGGAUGAUGAAGGCCCUAGGGUUGUAAAGUCCUUUCGGCGGGGAAGAUAAUGACGGUACCCGCAGAAGAAGCCCCGGCUAACUUCGUGCCAGCAGCCGCGGUAAUACGAAGGGGGCUAGCGUUGCUCGGAAUCACUGGGCGUAAAGCGCACGUAGGCGGCUUUUUAAGUCAGGGGUGAAAUCCUGGAGCUCAACUCCAGAACUGCCUUUGAUACUGAGAAGCUUGAGUCCGGGAGAGGUGAGUGGAACUGCGAGUGUAGAGGUGAAAUUCGUAGAUAUUCGCAAGAACACCAGUGGCGAAGGCGGCUCACUGGCCCGGUACUGACGCUGAGGUGCGAAAGCGUGGGGAGCAAACAGGAUUAGAUACCCCGGUAGUCC